AUCCCUUAUAUUAUGAGUAUUUAUAAUUUUUUUUAUAUUAUGAAUAUUUAAAAAAAAAAUCAAUAACUAUUGGAGAUGAAAAUUUAUUUAUGAUAAACUUGAAAGAUUACCAAAAACUAUUUUCAAAAGUCAAAUAUAUACAGUCAAACAUUCUAAAUAUAUAGUCAAACAUUCUAAACAUAAUUGUAUUUCUAAAAUGGACCAUUUUGUAAUUCUAUAAAGCUCUUUUCCAGUGGCCUCAGGUUUUUCAAGUCUAUUAUUAUUCAAAGUAAAAAACAACCAAUGGCUAAAACAGCUUUUUCACUUGUUCUCCCAAUCAUAUUCAUUGUCAUGUUUUGCUUAGUUGAUGAAAAUAUGGGAUGCGGUCAAUAUAUCGGUCCCUGCCCUGUUCGUGGAACAUGUGAUCAAGUAUGCAAAGCUCAAUUUGGACCAAAGGCAGAUGGCAUAUGUGACUUCACGGGUACUAAACGAUGUGCUUGCAAAUAUCCUUGUAUGACUGAUAAGACUCGGAUUUGAUUUCUAUUCUGAUUUGAAAUCCUCACUUCAUUCAAAAUGUAAGAAAAUAUCCUCAUUAAUAAAAAACGAAAAAAAUGCAACUGUUA